CCUUAUCAAGAGCGGCUGAGGGAACUGGCCCUGCGAAGCCCGGCAACCUGUUUUUCAAGGUGCUAAAUCCAGCGGUAUAAACCGGAAGAUGAGG
rnacentral:ncRNA from 1 species